UUCUACACAAAUAAUUCAGUGACAGUGUUUACAGUCUUCACUGUUUACUGGUCUCGCUAAUCUUUUCCGAAUUAUUCCGCCACCACUAACAUAAAGUCACUGCCCUCUAAGCUUACCAUCUAACCAUUCAAGAUGCUGUUGUCCAUUUGAGCCCACAUAGGUAAAUCAAAAUACAGCACAAUGGUCAAGGCAGACAUACCUUACUAAUUAGGCUAAAUUGUUGUUUGGUUCAGAGCAGACGUCCAGUAAAUGUUUUGAAGUUUAAAGAUUAUCUCAGGGCAGCAGUUUUGGGUGUUCAACGAGCCUUAAUGGCUCCAGGAGAUCUGGAUUCCAUUGAGAUUUUGAAAUUCUAUUUAUUUUUCCCCCUUUUGAUCAGGAUUCUUCUACAGUAUAGAUUCACUUUUUAUUUUCAGUCUGAUUAUCUUAUGCUGUGACUCAAUUCACUUUAUUUCAGUUCCAGCUCAGAUUGGGAUGCACUGAAUUUUAGCUUCAACCACAGUACAGUAUUUGGCCAGAUUGUCUGUUAGGCGUUAGCUUUGGCCUUGGUCAUGGCUUUAAAGACUGGAUAACCAAAUGUUCCCCUUCAACAUCAUUGAUGGUGUCUUAGUUAUCUAGUGCUGCUAUAAGAGAAAUACCACAAGUGGGUGGCUUUAACAAAGAGAAAUUUAUUUUCCCACUGUCCAGUAGGCUCAAAGUCUGAAGGCUGUCUCUCCCUGUCGGCUCUGAAGGAAGAUCCUCAUGAUGCAUCAAUCUUCCGUUGGUCUGGGAGCAGCUCAGCUCAAGUCCAAAGGGCACACUAUACUCCUGGUGCUGCUUUCUUGGUGCCAAGAUCCAUCUGACAUCAGCAAUGAUAUCCUGAGUUCCACGCCUUCUACUGAAUCUGGUUUGAAUUCCUGACAGUUUCCUGUCAAUGUACCACUGCAGCCACUUUUGAGUGAUCUUCAGCAAAAUUUUACUUGCACGUGAUAUUGAUGAUAUUGUUAGAAAAUUUCCCCAUUCUGAUGGAUCACCUUUCCUUGGAACGGGCACAAAUAUGGAUCUCUUCCAUUCAGUUGGCCAGGAAGCUAUCUUCCAAAUUUCUUGGCAUAGAUGAGUGAGCGCUUCUAGAGUUGCAUCUAUUUGUUGAAACAUCUCAACUGGUAUUCCCUCAAUUCCUGGAGUCUUGUUUUUCACCGAUGCCUUCAGUGCAGCUUGGACUUCUUCCUUCAGUACCAUCAGUUCUUGAUCGUAUGCUACCUCCUGAACUGGCUGAACGUCAACUAAUUCUUUCUGAUGACGAAGCUGAGGCCAGGAAAAUUUCAGUAACUUGAUAAGAGUCACAAAAAUGCAUUCCGGCUGCCUGACUCUCAAUUUACUGUUUGCUCUAUGCCUCCACCCUUCUGCCCCCCGCUCAGAAGGAGAGUCAGGUGGAAUUUCUGCCAUAAGAGCUCACGCACCUGUCAGCAAGUUGUAUUUCGGAACAAACCUGCCCGAGAUGACAGGAAUGUAAGAGGAAACGUGCACAAUGCUCCAACACCUAACUGUGCCCAGGGAACAUGAUACAGAAAGUGGAAGCUCCACCGAAAUCAUGUGUGUAAACUGAGGACCCCACCCAGGCCUGGGGUGACCCUUUCCAGGUGCUGACAUGGACAGUCUCUGCCUGAAGCCAUCUGGGACUUUCCCUUCACACCUUUUAGCAGAAGUCGAUUGUACCCUUUUGGGAGUCUGAAGGGCUUGGACUUGGUUCAAUCCUUCUGAAGGAAAUAAAUGAUUUCAUUGCUCUGGAGCCAUAUUUUACAGAAAUGUCCCCACAAACAUGAAACCAUAGGACUUGAAAGAAGAGGAAGAAAGAGACUGGACAGAAUUGGGAAAGAAAAACCAUCUGAUCCAGAUCCCAUGACCCUUUCUGGACACAGCUCUCAAUCUGUCUGCUUCCUGAAGCCUUUUCUGACCUCCUCUGAAUAUCCACCUUAUCUUACCUGUCUUAAGGUAAGUAACACUUUCCACCUUGUUGUAUACUUGUAUAUAUCCUCUCCCCCUAACUAGUUGCCUUCAUGUCUACUCUGACUCAUGGUGACCCCAUGUGUAUUAGAGUAGAACUGUGCUCCAUAGGCUUUUCAACGGCUGAUUUUUUGGAAGUAGAUCACCAGGUCUUUCUUCCAAGGUGCCUCUCUGUGGACUUGAACCUCCAGCCUUGCAGUCA